UCCUGGAGCCUAGCUUUCUGCUCAGCUCUUUGCCUCAGGAAGUUAGAAGUUGUCUUCUGUCCUGUGCCUUUGGUUCUGGGGAGAACAUUGGUCAUCUCAGCAGCUGCACUGUGGAAAAUACCUAUGCUGUUUCAAAGUCAAUAUAGGAAUAGUGGGCUUUGCUGGAUCCUUCCCAGAAGAAUCUCCAUAAAGAUGUGAUGGUGGAGACUAUAGGAACCUCACUGCUAUAGAGGGUUACAGGAUCACCAUGAAAACAGCAAGGCAAAAGGUGUCAGACAUGGCAGAUAUAGCAGGAUGCUAAGAUCUCACAUCCUCAACCUGCAGAAUGAACCAGACAGUGGGAACUGGAAAUGGUAUGCAGAUGUCAAUUAUAAAACCAUACCCCCAGUGACAUAUUACCUCCAGCAGGGCAUCAUUUCCUUAAUCAUCUCAAAUGAUACCACCAACUGGGAAGUAUUGAUUUCUCUGACUUCAGAACUACAUGCUUGCUUUUUGUUAUAUGAAGCAGAUCAUGAUACAGAAAAACUGUAGAUGUCAUUGUUUGUUAUCCAUCCUGGUUUGGAUGUCAGUACUUUGUCAUGGCUACCUUUGAACUCCUAUGUCUCAUGUUUCAUCCUCAUGAGUUCAAGACCAAGGGUAGAUGAUGUAUCCCCGAUGUGUGCUCCUUUGUUGACAUGUUUCAACAAUGUUAAUAUUAACAUGCUUAAGAAGAACACAUGCCAAGACAGUGAAGUAGGGAAAUAUGUGAAUUGUGGGUAUGUAAACAGAAGAUACAACCAGAAAGAAAGGUUACAAGACAAGAAGAAUGCCCUGAAACAUUCCUCUGCAGUGACCUCUUUGAAGAUCUCAGUAUUGAGAAAGAGAUAUGAUCCCAGAAAGAUCCUGCUGCGGGAUGAAAAGACCUUGGUGACCUGCUGCUCACUGUACUGAGUCUUAAAGGGCCGCUUCCCCAGAAUGCUGUUCCCUGCUGCACUUUUCCCAACACCACACUUCCCCAUGAG